AUUGAACGCUGGCGGCAUGCUCUACACAUGCAAGUCGAACGGUAACAGGCCGCAAGGUGCUGACGAGUGGCGAACGGGUGAGUAAUGCAUCGGAACGUGCCCAGUCGUGGGGGACAACUACUCGAAAGAGUAGCUAAUACCGCAUACGAUCUAUGGAUGAAAGCGGGGGACCGUAAGGCCUCGCGCGAUUGGAGCGGCCGAUGUCAGAUUAGGUAGUUGGUGGGGUAAAGGCUCACCAAGCCAACGAUCUGUAGCUGGUCUGAGAGGACGACCAGCCACACUGGGACUGAGACACGGCCCAGACUCCUACGGGAGGCAGCAGUGGGGAAUUUUGGACAAUGGGCGCAAGCCUGAUCCAGCAAUGCCGCGUGCAGGAAGAAGGCCUUCGGGUUGUAAACUGCUUUUGUACGGAACGAAACGGCUCUGGUUAAUACCCGGGGCUAAUGACGGUACCGUAAGAAUAAGCACCGGCUAACUACGUG
rnacentral:rRNA from 1 species